UGAAUACGAGACGCUAAGGCGUCGAAGUAGUGUAUGUCAUACUUCCAAGAAAAGCUUGCACUGUCAUAGAUAAAAAACGCCUGUACCAUAACCGACACAGGUGGGUAGGUAGAGUAUACUAAGGGGCGCGAGAUAACUCUCUCUAAGGAACUCGGCAAAAUAACUCCGUAACUUCGGGAGAAGGAGUGCCUUAUUCGUAAGGUUGCAAUAACAAGAUCCAAGCAACUGUUUAUCAAAAACACAGGUCUCCGCUAAGUCGUAAGACGAUGUAUGGGGGCUGACGCCUGCCCAGUGCCAGAAGGUUAAAGAAGUUGGUUAGCAAUUGCGAAGCUGAUAACUGAAGCCCUGGUGAACGGCGGCCGUAACUAUAACGGUCCUAAGGUAGCGGAAUUCCUUGUCGGGUAAGUUCCGACCCGCACGAAAGGCGUAAUGAUUUGGAUACUGUCUCGGAGAGGGGCUCGGUGAAAUAGACUUGUCUGUGAAGAUGCGGACUACCUGCACCAGGACAGAAAGACCCUAUGAAGCUUUACUGUAACUUGAAAUUGAAAUUGGACUUUAUUCGCGCAGUAUAGGUGGGAGGCGUUGAUUAUAAUCUUGUGGGAUUAUUGGAGCCAUCAGUGAGAUACCACUCUUGUAAUGUUAGAUUUCUAACUUUGAAUCAUUAUCUGGUCAAAGAACAGUUUCAGGCGGGCAGUUUGACUGGGGCGGUCGCCUCCUAAACGGUAACGGAGGCGUACAAAGGUUUCCUCUGAACGGUUAGAAAUCGUAUCUAGAGUGUAAAGGCAUAAGGAAGCUUGACUGUGAGACCUACAAGUCGAGCAGGGACGAAAGUCGGUCUUAGUGAUCUGACGGUACUGAGUGGAAAGGCCGUCACUCAACGGAUAAAAGUUACUCUAGGAUAACAGGCUGAUCUCCCCCAAGAGUUCACAUCGACGGGGAGGUUUGGCACCUUGAUGUCGGCUCAUCGCAUCCUGGGGCGGUAGUACGUCCCAAGGGUUGGGCUGUUCGCCCAUGAAAGCGGUACGCGAGCUGGGUUCAGAACGUCGUGAGACAGUUCGGUCCAUAUCCGGUGUAGGCGUUAGAAUAUUGAGAGGAGCCUUCUUUAGUACGAGAGGACCGAGAAGGACAUACCUCUGGUGUACCAGUUAUCGUGCCAACGGUAAACGCUGGGUAGCUAUGUAUGGAGUGGAUAACCGCUGAAAGCAUCUAAGUGGGAAGCCCACCUCAAGAUAAGUAUUCUCAUC
rnacentral:rRNA from 1 species